rnacentral:lncRNA from 1 species
UCUUAUGAGAAGUGACACCACAAAGAAACAAGCUUACUAGUCACGGUCCCAGCCAGUGUUCAAAUCCCAAACACCUGCUCUCUGAGCCCUGACUAUUGCUUUGCUAGCAUUACACAUCUUAUGGUUUGGCUGUUAAUUCUUCAUCACCAGCACCAGAGUCCAGGCUGGCAAAGGGCUAGGAAACCGAUCAUCUGCCUCCUCUACACCCAGAACCCUGUGUGGUGACCCAAAACAAAUGGAAAGAACCAACCUCAGAUGAAAUUUGAACCCAGCCUCAGCUCCAGCGACAGAGUCCUCCUCCCGGCAGCGACCGAACCUCCAGCCACAAUUCUCAAUCCUCCACCUCUAGAUGCAGUUUCCUGGGCUCGGGGAGCCCUUGCCUGCCUUCUCCAACGGGAAAGCCCCUUUACAUCCUUCAAGAACCCCCUUCCCUAGUGCCCUCAGGAAUACUUUAUGGCAGUAGAGAGGUAAGGGCCCCACGCCGCUCUGGACCUCAGUUUCCUCAUCAGUAAAAUGGGGUCCCUUAAGUUUGUGGGAGUUUGAAGGGCGGUGGGGCCUACGAAGCGCGCCGAGGAGCCGAGAGUUGCAGAAACCCGGAGCUCCUCGCUCCUCGCAACCGUCUGUACGCGGCGCCCCCGCCAGCCAGGCAGCCCCUGGAGGGCAGGACCCCGGUUAUAAGCCUCAGAAAACGUGGCUUCGGAGGACGUGGCAAGGAGGACUGAACGAAGGAUGAGGAGAUGAACAAAUGAAUGGACGGAAGGCCGAAUGAGGGACAAAGGCUUGCAAGAUGGCGUUCUCUAGGACCGCGGGAGUGGUGGCCGGGCCUCAGCAGGGGAGGGGGCCGCCGGCGCCUGGGAUCUUGCAGCGCGGGCCACGCGACCGGGACAAAAACCCAAAACAUGGCGGGCUCUAGGACCCCCGGGACCACACCGCGCCGGGCCAGCAGCCGCGCGGGCCGAGCCUGGGUGUCCGCAGCCCAGAACCGCGGAGACAGCCGGCGGGUUCUAGGACCUGCUGGGCCCGCAAUGCGCCCGGGGCCGCUCACAGCCCGCCCCGCCCGCGCUGCUCGCGCUGGGCCAACCCGGCCCGCCCUCGGCGCCCGCAGGGAAACUGAGGCCAGCUC